CGCUAUCACUCCUACGGGGAGGCAGCAGUGGGGAAUAUUGCACAAUGGGGGAAACCCUGAUGCAGCCAUGCCGCGUGUGUGAAGAAGGCCUUCGGGUUGUAAAGCACUUUCAGUAGGGAGGAAGGUAGUGUAGUUAACACCUGCACUAUUUGACGUUACCUACAGAAGAAAGCACCGGCUAACUCCGUGCCAGCAGCCGCGGUAAUACGGAGGGUGCGAGCGUUAAUCGGAAUUACUGGGCGUAAAGCGCAUGCAGGCGGCCUGUUAAGUCAGAUGUGAAAGACCCGGGGCUUAACCUCGGAAUUGCAUUUGAAACUGGCAGGCUAGAGUCUUGUAGAGGGGGGUAGGAAUUUCAGGUGUAGCGGUGAAAUGCGUAGAGAUCUGAAGGAAUACCAGUGGCGAAGGCGGCCCCCUCGGACAAAGACUGACGCUCAGAUGCGAAAGCGUGGGGAGCAAACAGGAUUAGAUACCCUGGUAG
rnacentral:rRNA from 1 species